rnacentral:rRNA from 1 species
AGAGUUUGAUCAUGGCUCAGAACUAACGCUGGCGGCGUGCCUAACACAUGCAAGUCGAACGAGAAAGUUGGCUUCGGCCGAUGAGUAAAGUGGCGCACGGGUGAGUAACGCGUGGAUAAUCUGCCCUUUAGUUUGGAAUAACGUACCGAAAGGUGCGCUAAUACCGGAUGAUACUGAGUGACUACUGUCAUUUAGUCAAAGAAGGCUUCUGUUUACAUGCUUUUGCUGAAGGAUGAGUCCGCGUACCAUUAGCUAGUUGGUAGGGUAAUGGCCUACCAAGGCGACGAUGGUUAGCUGGUCUGAGAGGAUGAUCAGCCACACUGGAACUGAGACACGGUCCAGACUCCUACGGGAGGCAGCAGUGAGGAAUAUUGCGCAAUGGGGGAAACCCUGACGCAGCAACGCCGCGUGAGUGAGGAAGGUUUUCGGACCGUAAAGCUCUGUCGAGCGGGAAGAAAUGCAUGGUGGCUAAUAUCCAUCAUGCUUGACGGUACCGCUAAAGGAAGCACCGGCUAACUCCGUGCCAGCAGCCGCGGUAAUACGGGGGGUGCGAGCGUUGUUCGGAAUUAUUGGGCGUAAAGAGCGUGUAGGCGGCUGAAUAAGUCAGAUGUGAAAUCCCUGGGCUUAACCCCAGGACGUGCAUUUGAAACUAUUCGGCUAGAGUAGGGGAAGAAGGAAAAGUGGAUUUCCUGGGGUUAGAAGGUUGAAAUUCGUAGAUAUCAGAGAAACACGGGUGGCGAAGCCGACUUUUCUGGGCCUAUACUGACGCUGAGACGCGAGAAGGCGUGGGUAGCAACAGGAUUA